rnacentral:rRNA from 1 species
AAAGAAACCAACAGGGAUUGCCCCAGUAACGGCGAGUGAAGCGGCAAGAGCUCAAAUUUGAAAGCUGGCUCCUUCGGGGUCCGCAUUGUAAUUUGCAGAGGAUGCUUCGGGAGCGGUCCCCAUCUAAGUGCCCUGGAACGGGACGUCAUAGAGGGUGAGAAUCCCGUAUGGGAUGGGGUGUCCGCGCCCGUGUGAAGCUCCUUCGACGAGUCGAGUUGUUUGGGAAUGCAGCUCUAAAUGGGUGGUAAAUUUCAUCUAAAGCUAAAUAUUGGCCGGAGACCGAUAGCGCACAAGUAGAGUGAUCGAAAGAUGAAAAGCACUUUGAAAAGAGAGUUAAAAAGCACGUGAAAUUGUUGAAAGGGAAGCGCUUGCGACCAGACUCGCUCGCGGGGUUCAGCCGGCAUUCGUGCCGGUGUACUUCCCCGCGGGCGGGCCAGCGUCGGUUUGGGCGGUCGGUCAAAGGCCCUCGGAAGGUAACGCCCCCAGGGGCGUCUUAUAGCCGAGGGUGCAAUGCGACCUGCCUAGACCGAGGAACGCGCUUCGGCUCGGACGCUGGCAUAAUGGUCGUAAACGAC